GGAUAUGGGUUGCUCUGCUCUGUGACCUGGCUAGCUAACUGUUUCACCACUACAACAAGCAAAAGCAGAGCUGUCCCAGUGCCCCCACAGAGGCCUGAAGACACAGGAAGCUUCUCUAUCUCUCUCAGGACCUGGCCAGCAUACCAGGGAGCUGGAGCGAUGGUAGAGGUCUCUGGGCCCUAGAUGAACUCACAGCCAAGCAUUGGCACCAACCCGCCAGACUGAGACUUCUGAAGAGGAAGAAGCCAAACAACAGACAGGCCAAGUGGCAUGCCCAACGUUACACAGCUGACAAGAGAGGAAUGAGUGCUACAGCCCAUGGUGGGUGGCUCCAGAGUCGGAACUUCUUCAGGAAGCCGCCAAGCUCUCUCAUCCCAGCACAAAGCACAGCUUGAUUCAAGUUUCUUGUGAUAAAAUUUAACUGAGUAAA